rnacentral:miRNA from 1 species
CGCCACUAUUAUUGAUAGUUUGUCCAAAGACAGAUUAGUCGAUGAUGCUUUGGGUCUUCUUGCGGAAAUGAGUGACGGAGGCAUUCAACCAGAUGUUGUAACCUACAGCUCAUUAAUUCAUGGUA